rnacentral:rRNA from 1 species
GAUGAACGCUGGCGGCGUGCCUAAUACAUGCCAGUCGAGCGAACAGAUAAGGAGCUUGCUCCUUUGACGUUAGCGGCGGACGGGUGAGUAACACGUGGAUAACCUACCUAUAAGACUGGGAUAACUUCGGGAAACCGGAGCUAAUACCGGAUAACAUAUUGAACCGCAUGGUUCAAUAGUGAAAGGCGGCUUUGCUGUCACUUAUAGAUGGAUCCGCGCCGUAUUAGCUAGUUGGUAAGGUAACGGCUUACCAAGGCAACGAUACGUAGCCGACCUGAGAGGGUGAUCGGCCACACUGGAACUGAGACACGGUCCAGACUCCUACGGGAGGCAGCAGUAGGGAAUCUUCCGCAAUGGGCGAAAGCCUGACGGAGCAACGCCGCGUGAGUGAUGAAGGUCUUCGGAUCGUAAAACUCUGUUAUCAGGGAAGAACAAAUGUGUAAGUAACUGUGCACAUCUUGACGGUACCUGAUCAGAAAGCCACGACUAACUACGUG